GACGAACGCUGGCGGCGUGCUUAACACAUGCAAGUCGAACGGAAAGGCCCUGCUUUUGUGGGGUGCUCGAGUGGCGAACGGGUGAGUAACACGUGAGUAACCUGCCCUUGACUUUGGGAUAACUUCAGGAAACUGGGGCUAAUACCGGAUAGGAGCUCCUGCUGCAUGGUGGGGGUUGGAAAGUUUCGGCGGUUGGGGUUGGACUCGCGGCUUAUCAGCUUGUUGGUGGGGUAGUGGCUUACCAAGGCUUUGACGGGUAGCCGGCCUGAGAGGGUGACCGGCCACAUUGGGACUGAGAUACGGCCCAGACUCCUACGGGAGGCAGCAGUGGGGAAUAUUGCACAAUGGGCGGAAGCCUGAUGCAUCAACGCCGCGUGCGGGAUGACGGCCUUCGGGUUGUAAACCGCUUUCGCCUGUGACGAAGCGUGAGUGACGGUAAUGGGUAAAGAAGCACCGGCUAACUACGUG
rnacentral:rRNA from 1 species